rnacentral:misc_RNA from 1 species
AGCCACUGCACAAUCAAGUGGUGGCAGUGCCAGCAGUGUGGCAUUGCCAGGAGUAGGGAAAAGUGCUACACCAGUUUUGGCACUUCCUGCACCUGAUGGAACAGUCCAGACAGUUGGACAAGACCCCUUUGCCGCAUCUUUGAGUGUUCCACCUCCCUCUUAUGUGCAAAUAGCAGAUUUGCAGAAGAAAGAGCAAUUGCUAGUGCAGGAACAGAUGGUAUGGCAGCAGUAUGGCAGAGAUGGCAUGCAAGGUCAAACGAGUUUGGCCAAGAUCACUACUGGAGGAUACUAUGGUCCAGGGCAACCCCCUGUGAUG